AGCUCCAAUAGCGUAUAUUAAAGUUGUUGUGGUUAAAAAGCUCGUAGUUGGAUUUCUGCUGAAGACAACCGGUCUGCCUCUGGGUGAGCAUCUGGUUUGGAUUCGGCAUCAUCUGAAAGAACGUAGCUGCACUUGAUUGUGUGGUGCGGUAUCCUAGACUUUUACUUUGAGGAACUCAGAGUGCUUCAAGCAGGCGAAUGCCUUGGAUACAUUCGCAUGGAAAAAGUUUUAGGACAUUGGUUCUAUUUUGUUGGCUUCUAGAACAGAGGUAACGUUUUAAUAGGGAGUAACGUUUAAUAGGGAUAAGUGGGGCAUGCGUGUUUAACUCUCAGAGGUGAAAUUCUUGGAUUUGUUAAAGACGGACCAAUGCGAAAGCAUGUGCCAAGGAUGCUUUCUUUGA
rnacentral:rRNA from 1 species